UCCGCCGCCGCAUCCAACCCUAACCCCAGAGCUUCGUCGCGCCUCCAACCCUAAUCCCAGAACUUCGUCGUGCUUCCAACCCCUGCUUCGCCGCUCCCUCCAUCGACGCUCCCUUCGUCUCAAAGCCUCCGUCGUGCUCACUCUGUCGUAAGCCUUCAAACGUCGCUCCUUCCUCCAUGACUGAAACCCGUAACGCUCUGCUUUUUCUCCUGCGUCGUGACUUCACCUUCCUCCAAACAAAAUUGAAAAACCCUAACCUGGAGGCCUUCCACUGCAAACCUACCGAUCCCUAAUUCCGUCUCAUCAUCAGAGAUUGAAAAUGAGUAGGCGUGGGAGCAGAAUAGUCUACGUUGGGAACCUCCCUGGUGAUAUUCGUGAAAGAGAAGUAGAAGAUUUGUUUUCAAAGGUUGUUUAAAUUUGAGCUCUUGUGGUUUUAGAAAUGUUAAAAGCUUUGAUGCAAAAUUUGGCAUAUAAAGUUGUUAAAUUGCUUGCUGCAGAAAAUUCAGCAGAUUGGCGCCAACUUGUAUGAAAUUUUGGGAAAAAUAUGUACGGUAAUUUUUAAUGAAAUAAGUUGAAUAAUGAAUCUGAUGAUGAUUUGCAGAACUGCAUCACACUAACAAAGGAGAAUGUC